GUUAACUUCUUAAUUUACACCUCCUGGGAGCUCUCCUCUAAUCAGAGGGCUUGGUAGGAGAGGUUUGGGACAGGAGCCGAAGGCCGGAGACUCUCCAUGUCACCGUGACGGGGUGCGGGGCUGAGCCAGCUUGGGCAAAACCGGGGGUGCUGAUUUCACACAGCGCAUAGUAUACGGGUGAAUUUAUCUUUCGUUGCCAUGUAAUCAAAUUAAAGGGCAACAAGCGGCUUUUCCUCAGUUUUCUGAAAGGGGUUGCAGCAACACCCAUUAUGAGGCCUUUAUUCUUGCAUGGAUUGUUUAGCUUGGUGGGAUGAGAGGAAGGGAGGUGUGUCUUGGUUGAGAGGACGAACUCUGGUGGCAGUGUGAGAGGUGACAGCCAAGUCUGCAGGAGCCUGUCUCUGGAAUGUGAGUGGAAAGAAGCACCUCUGAGCUCUCGUGCAGGAGAACUGCAGUGUUUUUUUGUGUGCUCCUAGGGUCUAAUAGGAGAAUGAAAUGAAAACCCUGUAGUCCAAGGCAACUUUGUGGGUCAGGCGCUGUGGGCUGAAUCCUGGAGAAGGACAAGUCCAAGGUUACCUCACUGUCAAGAGAUGGCUGCUGGAGCUCUACCCAUCACUUUUGCCUUGUAGACAGCAGGAAGAAGGAAAGGAGGCACAGAGAAGAAAACAUGAAAAUGACUCAACUUCUGAAAUUUUCAGCUUGAGAAGUGUUCAUUUUUAGAAGGAGGAGGAAGUGUAGGACAAGAGCAAGAAGAAUUUGAAGCUAAGCCAGUGGACUUUGUUUGACAAAUCCAGCUGAUUCUCAAUUAUCCUGACUAAUGAGGCACAGAAAUUGCCUGAGAACAAUGAUGGCCUCUUUGGAAAUAUGCCUAAAUUAAGAAACGUGCCUUCAGUUUCUUCAGAAGAGCAAGCACGUGUUUGCACACACACCUCAGCUUGGCUUGUUUUUUCUUCCUCCCUGUGGUGAUUGUGAUGAGCUAUUUACCACCUAUCAUGUGGCAAGCUUGAUGCUCUACUUCAGAGGUUCUAAGAUAAUUUGUACAUCACUUUGCCUGCCUUAAAGAUGCUCAUAAACCAACAAAGAGAGGCAUCUGAUCCAUGUGUUAUCAACUCAAGUGGUCAAGAAUCCGCCUGCCAAUGCAGGGCACAGAGGUGUGAGCCCUGGUCCGGGAAGAUCCCACAUGCUGCAGAGCAACUAAGCCUGUGUGCCACAACUACUGAGCCUGCACUCUAGAGCCCAUGAGCCACAACUGCUGAAGCCCCUGCACCUAGAGCCCGUGUUCCGCAAUAAGAGAAGCCACCGCAAUGAGAAGCCGGCACACCACAACAAAGAGUAGCCCCUGCUCACUGCAACUAGAGAAAGCUUGCACAGAGCAACGAAGACCCAACACAGCCAAAAAUAAAUAAAUAAAUCUCUUUUUAAAAAAAGAAAUAAUAAAGAAAAAAUUUCCAAAUUCAAUGAAAAUUUUAAACUCACAUUUCUGAAAGUCUUUAAAAUUUCUAGCAGAAUAAACACAAAGAAAACCACACCUAGGCACAUCAUAAUCAAGUGGCUGAAAAGCAAAGAUUAAUAGAAUAUCUUAAAAGCAGGCAGAGGGAAAAUGAAGAGAAAAAUAAUCUUAAAAAAAAAAAACCUGCUACCAUCUCAAGAGAAAUAGUGUAGAGAAGAUAAAAGAACAACAUUUAAAAGUGCUGAAAGGAAAAACAAAAACAUAAAACAAAAUACCUAUCAACCUAGAAUUCUAUAUCCAGUGAAAAUAUCCUUUAAGAAAAAGGCAAAUAAAGACAUUUUAGUAUAAAAAAGAGCGAAAGAAUGUGUCAGUGGCACAGCUUCAGCUUCACUACAUGAAACAUUAAAGGAAUUCCAUAAAGCUGGUGAGAAAUGAUACCAGAUGGACACUGAGACCUUCAUUCAGGGAUGAACACAGUGCGUAUUCUAAAAAGACACACAUACAUAUUUGAGAUAGGCCUGUAACAGAGAUGACAUUUCAGUUAGCUGGGGAAAGGAUGGAACUUCUGCUACUACUGUGAUGUUCUAUAUAUAAUACUAAGUUACAUACGUGCCUCAUAUUAUACAUAAACAACUCCAGAUGGAUU